rnacentral:rRNA from 1 species
UGGGGAAUAUUGGACAAUGGGGGGAACCCUGAUCCAGCCAUGCCGCGUGAGUGAUGAAGGCCUUAGGGUUGUAAUGCUCUUUUGGCGGGGACGAUAAUGACGGUACCCGCAGAAUAAGCCCCGGCUAACUUCGUGCCAGCAGCCGCGGUAAUACGAAGGGGGCUAGCGUUGUUCGGAAUUACUGGGCGUAAAGCGCACGUAGGCGGAUCAGCAAGUCAGGGGUGAAAUCCCGGGGCUCAACCUCGGAACUGCCUCUGAUACUGCUGGUCUGGAGUCCGGAAGAGGUGGGUGGAAUUCCUAGUGUAGAGGUGAAAUUCGCAGAUAUUAGGAAGAACACCGGUGGCGAAGGCGGCCCACUGGUCCGGUACUGACGCUGAGGUGCGAAAGCGUGGGGAGCAAACAGGAUUAGAUACCCCAGUAGUCCCUGAGCGGGCUGGCAAGGCGCAU